UUGAGCGCAUUUAAUUUGAUGGUCUUUAUUUACGUCGCACGUGGUUGAAACUACUGACUACUUUUAAGCUAAGUAACAAAAGAUUAUUUUUCAUUAUCGUGAUGUCGUUUUUCAUUAGAAAUUCUAAUCGAAGAGGUGGACCACAGAAACGCAAGUACACAUUCAAUAGUUACUAUGGUAAAAUAUCCAAAACUCAGUCUACAAAGCGAUUAAAAAAAGCAAAUAAAUCUGUAGAUGAUGACAAUGAAAGUAUUGCUAGUACAGAUGAAGAAAUUGCAGAAGAAAAUUUAAGGAAAAAAACAGAAAAGUUUGAAAGUGAAACAGAAGAAGAAGAAGAAACUGCACAACAAAAGAAUUUGAGACUUGCAAAGAAGUAUCUUCAAGAAAUUGAAGAAGAAGAAAAGGAUAGAGCAGAAUUUGAAGAGGGUGCAGUUGCACGGAGAUUACGUGAGGAAUAUUUAGAGCAAAAGGGCCGACUGAGAAAAACUGUAGCAUCAAAUUAUACUGGCCACAAAGAACUGAUACCAUUAAGGUGUAAAGAACAUAAAGGACCUAUUACUUGUAUUUGUCUUUCCAAUGAUGGUAGUAUAUUAUACUCAGGAUCCAAAGAUGGCAGUUUAGUUAAAUGGUCAGUAAAGGAAAAGGUUAAAUUAAAAGCCAUUAGAGGAAAAAGAGGAAAAACGAAAGAUGGAAUUAAAUCUAUACGGUGUAUGGCAAUUAGUACAGAUGGAAAAUUUCUGGUAAUAGGAGAUAGUGGAUGCAAUGAUAUAAAAGUGUUUUCUGGGGAUACUUUGGAUCAUAUAAAGAAUCUACAAGGUCAUAGGAAGUUCGUAUCUGGAUUGAUAUUUCGAAAAGAUACUCACACGUUAUAUUCCGCGUCCGAAGAUAGGAGCGUGAAAGUUUGGAACUUGGAUGAUAUGGUUUAUGUUGAAUCUUUAUUUGGACAUCAGAGUGGUAUUACAUUUAUUGACGCACUUUCACGAGAACGCGCUAUCACGAGCGGUGGUUACGAUGGGACCAUUAGAAUAUGGAAAAUAGUCGAAGAAUCGCAGUUAAUAUUUAAUGGACAUAGUCUCGGUAAUAGCAUCGAUAUAGUUAAGCUUAUAAAUGAAGAGAACUUCCUCAGCGGGGGAGAUGAUGGACAACUCUGUGUUUGGGGAUGUUUGAAAAAAAAGCCGCUGUGUUCAGUGCCAGAGGCGCAUGGAAAGGAUGAAAUUAAUGACCAACCAAUGUGGAUUUCAAGUAUCGCAACAUUGUUAAAUACAGAUUUAGUAGCAUCAGAUCUCAAUUGACUCGAGUUAAUAUCAAGCACGGAUCAAAUACAAGACAUAAAAGCGACAAAGCGUUUCGGAACAAGAUUUCAUCGGACAGGUCUUGGGCGGCGUGAUCGAGGACGGCGGUCCAUUGUGAAUCGGCGGCUGCGGCUG
rnacentral:misc_RNA from 1 species